rnacentral:rRNA from 1 species
UACGUAGGGUGCAAGCGUUAAUCGGAAUUACUGGGCGUAAAGCGUGCGCAGGCGGUUAUGCAAGACAGAGGUGAAAUCCCCGGGCUCAACCUGGGAACUGCCUUUGUGACUGCAUAGCUAGAGUACGGCAGAGGGGGAUGGAAUUCCGCGUGUAGCAGUGAAAUGCGUAGAUAUGCGGAGGAACACCGAUGGCGAAGGCAAUCCCCUGGGCCUGCACUGACGCUCAUGCACGAAAGCGUGGGGAGCAAACAGG